rnacentral:tRNA from 1 species
GAGGGUAGGGCUCAUUGGUAGAGUGUGUGCUUUGCAUGCAAGAGGUCCUGGGUUCAAUCCCCAGUACCUCCA